rnacentral:rRNA from 1 species
AAUAAAAAUAUCUUUGGUUGGGGCAACCACGAAGAAAAAAAAACCUUUGUUUUUAAAAAAAAUCUACAAAUUUAAAAUUAAAAUAAGAUAAGAUCCAGAAAACUGAUCAAAGAAAAAAGUUACCGCAGGGAUAACAGCGUUAUUCUCUUUAAGAGUUCAUAUUGACAAGAGAGUUUGCGACCUCGAUGUUGGACCGGGACACCCAAGAGGUGCAACAGCCUCUAAAGGUAGGUCUGUUCGACCUUUAAAGCCCUACGCGAUCUGAGUUCAGACCGACGCAAGUCAGGUCAGUUUCUAUCUA